GGAGAGGCAGAUGCGGAGGGGAACGCAGAGACCGCAAGGUGAGGUUUCCCAGGACCGAAUUUCGAGGCCGCACCAGAUUAAGGAUGGCCGAUAAUGCCCCUCUGUCCGAGCCAACGGCUUCGCAAGAACUCAAUGGCGACUUCAAAAAGCCAGCCCUGCCGGUGCCCCCGCCGGUGCGGGGCCAGUUCCCGGCUGCCAGUCCUGCAAACCCCGAGGAAGUGAAGGAGAGGCCCACAGCCCUGCAGGACCCGGAUUCCGGGGAGCCUGACGUGCCUCCGCCCCGGCCGGAAGGCACGGAGACCAGGGGCCCCCGGGAGGCGCGGCCGCGGCCCCUCACCGCGGCUCCCGCGCCUGGCGGCCCGGCCCGGGCUCCGCCUUACCGGGAGCCGCCGUGGGGUGGCCCCGCCACGGCCCCCUACAGCUUAGAGACCCUGAAGGGCGGCACGAUCCUUGGCACCCGUAGCUUGAAAGGGACCAGUUGCUGCCUCUUCGGGAGGCUGUCGAGCUGCGACGUGUGCCUGGAGCACCCUUCGGUGUCUCGGUACCACGCCGUGCUGCAGCACGGGCCGUCUGGGCCCGACGGCGAAUGCGACGGCCACGGGCCCGGCUUCUACCUGUAUGACCUGGGAAGCACCCACGGCACCUUUCUCAACAAAACCCGCAUCCCACCCCGCACCUAUUGCCGGGUCCACGUCGGGCACGUUCUGCGCUUCGGCGGCAGCACCAGGCUCUUCCUUCUUCAGGGACCAGAGGAAGACCAAGAGGCAGAAUCCGAGUUGACAGUAACGCAGUUGAAGGAAUUGCGCAAGAAGCAGCAAGUGAUGUUGGAAAAGAAGAUGCUAGGAGAAGACUCGGAUGAAGAUGAGGAAAUGGAUACCCCUGAAACGAAGAGAAAUGCUAGUAGUCAGGAGGACGAAAUGGGCUGCACCUGGGGAAUGGGAGAAGAUGCUGUAGAGGAUGAGGCUGAAGAGAACCCCAUUGUUUUAGAGUUUCAGCAGGAAAGGGAGGCCUUUUAUAUAAAGGACCCAAAAAAGGCUCUGCAAGGUUUUUUCGACCGAGAAGGAGAAGAAUUAGAAUAUGAAUUUGAUGAACAGGGACAUAGCACUUGGCUGUGCAGGGUGAGAUUACCUGUGGAUGAUUCAACUGGAAAACAACUGGUGGCCGAGGCUAUUCACUCAGGAAAGAAAAAAGAAGCAAUGAUCCAGUGCUCCCUGGAAGCUUGUCGAAUCCUUGACACUCUGGGAUUGCUGCGGCAGGAGGCAGUAUCUCGGAAAAGGAAAGCAAAGAACUGGGAAGAUGAAGACUUUUAUGAUAGUGAUGAUGACACAUUUCUUGAUCGAACUGGCCUGGUUGAGAAGAAGCGUCUGAACCGAAUGAAGAAGGCUGGGAAGAUCGAUGAAAAGCCAGAGACAUUUGAAUCAUUGGUUGCAAAGUUAAACGAUGCUGAAAGGGAACUCUCUGAAAUUUCUGAGAGACUGAAAGCCUCAAGCAAAGCUCUAUCAGAGUCACCGUCUCAGGACUCAUUAGAUGCGUUCAUGUCGGAAAUGAAAUCAGGGAGUGCGUUAGAUGGUGUGUCCCGGAAGAAACUUCAUCUGAGAACUUUUGAGCUGAGGAAAGAACAACAGAGACUGAAAGGGUUGAUAAAAAUUGUAAAGCCAGCGGAGAUUCCAGAACUAAAAAAGACUGAAAAUCACACUGUAGAUGCUGAAAAUAAAGCUAAAAAGCUUCCAUUGCCUCUCUUUGGUGCCAUGAAAGGAGGAAGCAAGUUCAAAUUAAAAACUGGAACAGUAGGGAAGUUACCCCCCAAGCGUCCUGAACUCCCUCCAGCUCUAAUGAGAAUGAAGGAUGAGCCUGAAGUAGAAGAGGAAGAAGAGGAAGAAGAAGAGGAGAAAGAAAAGGAAGAUGAGGAAACCAAAAAACCGGAGGCUGGAAGCAGUGGGCUUCAGCAGGAGAGAGGGCCAGAAGAGGCAGUGCAAGGAGUGAGUCUGCCCACAGAUCUGACGUGUUCUAAAGAAGCAAAACAGCACGAUAACAUGUCUCAACUCAGCCAAGUGGAACAGAAUAAAGAUUACCAAGAAAUUAGCGAAACAGCUGCAUCACAGGGGGAACCCUCAGCAUUAAAGAAUGAACAUGAGAAAAGCAGAGAUGAAUUGAAGAAAAAGAAAGCUCCCGGUCCAGGCAAACCUCCACCAGCACUUUCCUCCAAAUAUCCAGAAGAUGACCCAGACUACUGUGUGUGGGUCCCACCUGAAGGUCAAAGUGGAGAUGGCAGGACCCACCUUAAUGACAAGUAUGGCUAUUGAUUGCUUCAGAAUCCUGAAGGAAGACCUGGAGGACCAUGUGGCGUGGGAUAUUUAGGACAGCAUAUCAAGUUGAAUGUCCCGAGAAGGAGUUCAGAUGAUCAUUUGUGAAAUCUGGUGACUGGCCUAUUCUAUGCUGUUGGCUUCCUAAAUGAAAGGAAAGCCUAAGCACGGAAGCAGGUAGAGAGCCCGUGGCCUGGGCAGGAGGCAGUGAGCAGGCAGGAGAAAUGCUGUGGCCCAGCAGGAGAGCGGACCAGGAUGGUGCUUUCCGCGGACUGUGGACUAUGCGGCGUGCACGAGGUAGGCAAGAAGCGGUAGUAAGAGACUUCAGUUACCCCAACAGCUGUGGCAAGUCUGGUCUGCUCAAAGUGGUGUCUUUCAUUUCUCCAAAAACAAUACCAAGAUUGGUAUUGUGAAAAAAAUAUUGUUUUGAACUUCAUUUAGGGCAACAGGGAAGAACUUGUUAAUGAUAUAAGAAGUAACAGGAAUUUUGGGACAGACUUACCACGCCAUCUUGUAUGAAAGCAGUGGACAGGGGUCUGAACUAGAUCAGUGGUCUUCAAAGGUAUAACUCUUUAUUCCAAAAAAAAUUGUAUGUGGGAUCCUAAUAUUCGAACAGGUAAAAAUAUGCCCGCUAUGGUGGAAGUAAGGGCACGGAGAUUGGGUGUGCACACACCGCAUGCGCACAUUCUCUCCUCCUCACAGUGACCCUGAAGGAUCCUGGGGGCUCCACAGAGUGUCGUCUGCUUCAGGAAGGCAGAUUUCUAAGCAUCCUGGGGAGGAAGGCAUGGUCCCACGCCUAGAGACGCCGAAGCAAAUAGUACUCCAUAUGGCAAAAUUAUAGAUUAUGUAACUUGUAUAAUUAAUGUCAGUGGUCAGUGGACUUGAUUCAGAAGACCUGCCCAUGAGUCUUAG